GCGAAAAGAACCCCGGCGAGGGGAGUGAAAAAGAACCUGAAACCGUGUACGUACAAGCAGUAGGAGCCUCUUUAUGGGGUGACUGCGUACCUUUUGUAUAAUGGGUCAGCGACUUAUAUUCUGUAGCAAGGUUAACCGUAUAGGGGAGCCGUAGGGAAACCGAGUCUUAACUGGGCGAAUGAGUUGCAGGGUAUAGACCCGAAACCCGGUGAUCUAUCCAUGGGCAGGUUGAAGGUUGGGUAACACUAACUGGAGGACCGAACCGA
rnacentral:rRNA from 1 species